UACGUAGGUGGCAAGCGUUGUCCGGAUUUACUGGGCGUAAAGGGCGUGCAGGCGGUCUGUUAAGUGCAGGGUGAAAGCUCCCGGCUCAACUGGGAGAGGUCCUUGCAUACUGGCGGACUUGAGGGGGGUAGAGGAAAGUGGAAUUCCCGGUGUAGUGGUGAUAUGCGUAGAUAUCGGGAGGAACACCUGUGGCGAAGGCGGCUUUCUGGGCUGACACUGACGCUGAAGCGCGAAAGCUAGGGGAGCGAACGGG
rnacentral:rRNA from 1 species